AUUACGUAAAACAAUAAUUUCUUAUUGAGGUAAUUACAAAGUACACGUCAUACUCGGACCUAUAUAUAACCUGUUUCAGAACACCAUGUUAGUACUAGUGUUUCCAUAAUAGUGGUGGACAACAUCGCAAAUUCUCAACCCGAAUAAACCAAAGUCAAAUAUGCUCGGAAAGUUGUUACUGCUAGUGUUUGCUGUCGCCUGUCUGUGUGCGUUGAUUGAAGCCACGCCCUACUUUUACAGACGCUAUCAGUACAGGCCAUAUCCUAGAUACUCAUUUUAUGGUAGCAACAGCAACAUGUACGGCGGAAAUGACGAUUUUUAUGGCGGGUACUGGGAUUAGAGGAUGCAGCAGACGAGACACGGAAUAUAUUCAAUAUAAAACAAUAAAUAGUACAGCGGACAGAUAACUCGAUAAAAUACUUCAGUUACUCUUAAAAAUGUAUAUGUUUAAUAGUUCUCAAUAUUUGUUUUAGAAUUACACUAUUUAUUAUUUUCUAAUUUUGGUAUAAAUAUAUACAUUAUAUCUCUGCGUUCAUUUAUGUUUUAAAACAUUUUUCAUAUUCAAGGGUUGUUGAGAAUGAGAUUUUUGUUUGUGAAAUAUCAUGUUAUAAAUUAUAAGUAAAUGAAUUAAUAAACAUUAUGCUGCC